rnacentral:misc_RNA from 1 species
UUCUCCAAAGUAACCGCACCAAACGCACCGUACUUCCCCUUCAUAACCGGUCCAAACUCACCUCUCGAACUCGACGCCGAACCUAAAUCCACCGGUGCAGCAUCCGGAGCCAGAAAGCACCGCUCCAAAGCUGCAACGGAUUCGCCACCGUCGAUAAUCGAAGGAGACGAACAUUUAAUGACAAGAUUCCUCCGCAGCUUACAGGUCACAGGCUGGACAACCGGCAGCUGCUGGCGCGGGCAAAGUUGAGGAAUCGGAGGAAGACUCGGCUUUAACGGCAAGGUCUUGGCGGCGCUAGUGGUGGUGGUGGGGAUUUGAGCAGUGUGGAAAAAGAAGUGAGACAUGUUUUAAAGAGAAAAGCUAUUUUCUGUUUGGAUACCGAUAAAAACUCAGUUCUUUUUUUCUCCUUUUUCCCCCUUCCUCUGGUUAUUUUCUCGGAUGUUGCUUCAUUUCUCUGGAAAGUGUUUCUCUCUCUAAAGAUUUGGAGCUCUGUUUUG